rnacentral:rRNA from 1 species
CACGUAGGGCGCAAGCGUUGUCCGGAAUUAUUGGGCGUAAAGAGCUCGUAGGCGGUCUGUUGCGUCUGCUGUGAAAACUCGGGGCUUAACCCCGGGCCUGCAGUGGGUACGGGCAGACUAGAGUGCGGUAGGGGAGACUGGAAUUCCUGGUGUAGCGGUGGAAUGCGCAGAUAUCAGGAGGAACACCGGUGGCGAAGGCGGGUCUCUGGGCCGUUACUGACGCUGAGGAGCGAAAGCGUGGGGAGCGAACAGG